GAUGAACGCUGACAGAAUGCUUAACACAUGCAAGUCAACUUGAAUUUGGGUUUUUAACUUAGAUUUGGGUGGCGGACGGGUGAGUAACGCGUAAAGAACUUGCCUCACAGCUAGGGACAACAUUUAGAAAUGAAUGCUAAUACCUGAUAUUAUGAUUUUAAGGCAUCUUAGAAUUAUGAAAGCUAUAAGCACUGUGAGAGAGCUUUGCGUCCCAUUAGCUAGUUGGAGAGGUAACAGCUCACCAAGGCGAUGAUGGGUAGCCGGCCUGAGAGGGUGAACGGCCACAAGGGGACUGAGACACGGCCCUUACUCCUACGGGAGGCAGCAGUGGGGAAUAUUGGACAAUGGACCGAGAGUCUGAUCCAGCAAUUCUGUGUGCACGAUGAAGUUUUUCGGAAUGUAAAGUGCUUUCAGUUGGGAAGAAAGAAAUGACGGUACCAACAGAAGAAGUGACGGCUAAAUACGUGCCAGCAGCCGCGGUAAUACGUAUGUCACGAGCGUUAUCCGGAUUUAUUGGGCGUAAAGCGCGUCUAGGUGGUUAUGUAAGUCUGAUGUGAAAAUGCAGGGCUCAACUCUGUAUUGCGUUGGAAACUGUGUGACUAGAGUACUGGAGAGGUAAGCGGAACUACAAGUGUAGAGGUGAAAUUCGUAGAUAUUUGUAGGAAUGCCGAUGGGGAAGCCAGCUUACUGGACAGAUACUGACGCUAAAGCGCGAAAGCGUGGGUAGCAAACAGG
rnacentral:rRNA from 1 species